rnacentral:rRNA from 1 species
AGUGAACGCUGGCGGUAGGCCUAACACAUGCAAGUCGAACGGCAGCACAGUAAGAGCUUGCUCUUACGGGUGGCGAGUGGCGGACGGGUGAGGAAUACAUCGGAAUCUACUUUUUCGUGGGGGAUAACGUAGGGAAACUUACGCUAAUACCGCAUACGACCUACGGGUGAAAGCAGGGAUCUUCGGACCUUGCGCGAAUGAAUUAGCCGAUGUCGGAUUAGCUAGUUGGCGGGGUAAAGGCCCACCAAGGCGACGAUCCGUAGCUGGUCUGAGAGGAUGAUCAGCCACACUGGAACUGAGACACGGUCCAGACUCCUACGGGAGGCAGCAGUGGGGAAUAUUGGACAAUGGGCGCAAGCCUGAUCCAGCCAUACCGCGUGGGUGAAGAAGGCCUUCGGGUUGUAAAGCCCUUUUGUUGGGAAAGAAAAGCAGCAGGUUAAUACCCCGCUGUUCUGACGGUACCCAAAGAAUAAGCACCGGCUAACUUCGUG